AGGGGAUCUGUCUGAUGGCAUCUAGGAAGGGUAAAUUUAUUUGAACAUUUUUAAAGACUUCCAUGAUUUCAUCGUACUGAGAUUUUUUCUUUAGGUCUUGUAGUCUACUAGGAAAGGGAGCCUUAGGUGUGUAAGUCUCUAUUGGUUUCUCCUCUAUUCCUUGUGUUCCCUGUUCUUGUGCCUUUUUCUGGGUGGGGUUUGGUUCAUG
rnacentral:lncRNA from 1 species